AAGAAAUGGGGGAACUCUUCUAUGUAUUUCCCAACAUUGCUAGAGUACUAUGCCUAAUAAAUGCCUGAGUCAGUGUGAAAGUCAAGAAAACAAGUUAUUGUGCCAUGCUGAAUUUCUAGAAGAGAAGUAUCUCUACCACAUCAAGGCACAGCGCUGUGCUAGCAGGAAGGUCUGUGAAGUUUGCAAUAAAGCCAUUAUGAAGUCAAGAAUGGAGGUUCCAUUUUUAAAGAACUCAGAGGGGGUAGAUCUUGAUUGACAUCUCAUCUGGGGUCACCUGGUCUUCAACUGAGAGAUCUUUUGGUUCGCCACGGAUGCCCCUUGCAGUUAUGGAAGUUCACUCUUUGAGAGAGAGAUAAAUAAACAUUAAAAUGUAAAGAAAAAAAAAAUCAGCAAUGGAAGGAAAAAGGAACAAAAAGCAAUCCAUUGGCGUCAAGCUUGACUGGACCACUCCACUGCUCUGCUGCCGUUAGUGAACCUGACCCUGCAGCAGGAGUCACAGACUCACCACUCACCUCAAGUCCUCACUCCCUGGACCCUCAAUCUACACAUCACUUUGUCUUUUAUUUCCCUGAGAAAUACAGGCCAUCAGUUUGCAGAUCCCUCCUUUCCCCUUACCCUGCAAAUCUCCAUCUAUUUGGAAAAGUGUGCCUCCUACAUUCCAAAGCUAACCCCUCCUCCUCUGCCACUAAUAUCAGCCCUACCUGCCUUCUUCUGUAACUUGCUCCAUUAAUUCCCUCCCCUCUCCCCCAGGUCUCCCUGCCUAUGAACAUAUUCAAGGACAUCAUAUCUUAAAAACAAACAAAUAUCAGGCACAAUGGCUCACACCUGUAAUCCCAGCACUUUGAGAGGUCAAGGCAGGAGAAUCACUUGAAUCCAGGGGUUCAAGACCAGCCUGGGAAACAUAGGGAGACCCUAUCUCUACAAAAAAUAUUUUUUAAAAAAAUUAGCCAGGUGUGGUGGUGUGCACCUGUAGUCCCAACUACUCAGAAGGCUGGGGUGGGAGAAAUAUUUCAGCCCAGGACGUCACUGUGCACAAUUGCUUUACUUUUUUUUCCCUUGGUAUAGACUUGUUGAAGAGUAAGCCUUCAUGUACUGUUUCCUCACUUUACAUUCACUCUCAACUGGAGACAAUAUAGAGUCUUCGCAGAUGCAGCUUUCUCCAGACCAACAAUGUGGUUAGACAUCUGGUUUUUCAUUGUUGUUGUUUGAUUUCUCUGACUAGCUUCCCUGACCAGAGGUCGUUUUGAGUUUCCUUCUCUGGAAUUUGACCACUGAGCAGAGACACAUAGGAGAGAAGACGUGAAUGCUGAGUCAUCAAUCAGCAUCACUGGGAAGAAAAAGCCUCUCAGUUUCUUCUGCUGGGACUCCCAGAGCUGGAGUAUUUUCUGCUCUUCCUAAGGCCUGAAUCUCACCUUGUCACCCAGGCUGGAGUGCAAUGGCAUAAUCUCAGCUCACUGCAACCUCUGUCUCCCAGGCUCAAAUGAUUCUCCUGCCUCAGCCUCCUGAGUAGCUGGGAUUACAGGCGCCCAUGGACUACCAGCUUUUUAAGUAGACUUUUUAGCCAAAGGCCAAGGGAAACUACCCUCUUCCUACUGGGGUUCAAAUUGAUUAAAAUGGUUUGCUUUGACUUUUGUUGAAGUCUCUUUAUUUUCUUUUUAAGAUUAUGUUAAAUUAUAAUCCACAUUGGCUUUCUUUUUACAGGUAAACUUUUUCUCUUCUAGAUUUCUAGACGGCCUUCCCCCACUUCGCUUCUCUCUCUGCCAUUUUCCUCCCCUCUCCCGCCUCCCCAAGUUAGAAGAGGCUGACAAAAAGAGGCUCAUCAAAGUUAAAUGUUGCCAACAUAAAUUGGUCCCUCUUCUCUUCCUUGAUGUGACUGGUCUCUCAACCUAUUGAUGGCAUCCAGUUCCAACUUUCCUCUUCUCAUUUGGGACAUUGGGAGGAGAGUAGUCUCUAUUUUUAAUAACAAAGUAG
rnacentral:lncRNA from 10 species